rnacentral:lncRNA from 1 species
GGUAAUCCUCCAAAGGAGAAAAACUUGAAGAGCUAGACCUAGUGAUCCAGUCAUUCAUUUCAGUCGUCAUCUUUAAAGCAAGUGUCCCAAGUAUAGAAGAAACCUAGGAGAGGUAUUGAAAAGAGAUAGAACCAAUCGUAGCAAAUGCUGGCAAGGAAGAUGAGCGAGUAGGUUUUUGUGAUUAAUACCUAAUGAACUGGAACAGUACUGCAGAAGGAGGUGUUCUGGCCUGGGUAACUAAGGUAACUCUUGAUAACAGUUGUUUGUUAUUUCUGUUUCCUGAGGCAUCACUGGACGCUAAGUAAUCCAUUCCUACCCUGUGGAUAUUGUUUACUGUAUCUGGCUUAGUUCUGCUUUGGUUGUUUCUGUUUUAUAUUAUUAUCAUAUGUGCAUGUGUGAAAAGGGAAAGAUGUAAUACUUACUUUUUAGAUUAAUUGCCGUGGCUAAAGUUGAAGAGACCAUAAAAAUGUAUUGAACCGCAAGCAGUCUCCACCUCCAAACAAGAGAAGCCCUGUUCUUCCUGGUGAGGAAGGAUCAUUAUUAAUAGUGACCAGGAUCAUCCAUCACCAACAUCUAAUGCAAGCUCUGUAUGUGUAACAAAAAGUGCACUACAUGCAUAAAGUUGCACACGCACAAAUACGUACAUCUAUGAAGCAUUAUAUUUUAAGAGCUAUAAGACACCAAGUUAUUAUCUUAAGUGAAUGAUAGUCAAGUGACGAAGCUGCCCAGCUCUCCAUCCUUCAGUUACUCUCUUCCACUCCCUGUCCCCCUGUCUGGCCAUCUGCCCAUCUGUCUGGCCUGCCAUGCCUCUCCUCUUUCUUUCCCUCUGUCCAGCUCCCCAUCUCUCUGUCUGGGUCUGCAGCCUUCUCUUCUGCUCCCCAUCCCUCUCUCCCACUCCCUGUUCCUCUGUCCAGCUUUUCAUCCUUCUCUUUCUCUCCCCAUUGCUCUGUCUGGCCCCCUGUCCAUCUUUUACUUUUUUCCAUCCCUCUGUCCAUCCGUACUUCCCUCUGUCUACUUCCCCAGCCCUCUUUCCACAUCCUCUGCUCCCCAUUCCUCUGACUGGCUUCCCAUCACUGUAUCUGGCUCUCCAUCCUCCUGUCUCUCCCUGUCACACUCCCCAGCCUGCUGUCCCUCUGCUUCUUUCACCAUCCCUCUGUUGCCUCUCCAUACCUCUCUUUCCCUUUCCUUCUCUCUCUCCACAUCUCCAGUCUUUUACUUCUUUUUCCAUCCCUCUCUUCUGUUGCCCAUCCCUUUGUCUGCCUCUGCCUCCCUCUCUUUUCCUUUCCAUCUCUCUAUCCACCUUCCCAUCCUUCUCUUCCGCUCCCUGCCCCUCUGUCCCAUUUCCAUCCUUUUCUUUCACUCCCUGUCACUCUGUCCCUCUCCCUGUCCAUCUGUUUGUCUCCCCAUCCCUCUCUCUACUUCUUUCUUUUUCCUUUCCAUCCCUCUGUCUCUCCAUCCUUCUAGCUCCCCGUUCUCCUGUCAAGCUCCGUCUCCCUCUUUUCCUCUCUUUAUUCUUCUGUCCACUUUUACAUCCCUCUUUUUCUCUCCUGCCGUGUCCAGGUCUCCAGCCUUCUCUUUCUUUCUCCAUCCCUCUGUCAAGCUCUCUAUCCCUCUUUUCCUUUCUUCUGCUCCCCCUCCCUUUGUCUGGCUCCUUGCCCCUCUGUGCACCUGAAGGUCUGUCAUUCCUUGUGUUUUGUCUGGUUUUGCAGGUGCCAAGAGGUGGUCGGCGCUCAUCAGAGGUGAUCAGCAGCGCCCAGAGGGUCCCUCUGAUCUGCCUGGUUCAGGUCACGUCAGACACCUCUGCAGGCGUCUGUCAGCUAACRAGUAAAGAAGGYGGAACGGCCCGUCCGCGCAGGAGAACUGACGCAYGGUAAACGUGAAUACGCCAGACCUCCGCUACGUCACGGGCGUUUGUUUACGUCCGUGCGUUCAAAUCUCUAGUUGCGCGUUCGGGACGCGGCAUCUGCCCGGUAUCCGACUCCUCCGUGUAGCGCAGAAGGCGCUGUACGGCUGCCGGUCUC